UACAGAGGCCUCGAGCGUUAGGCGGAAUCACUGGGCUUAAAGCGUGUGUAGGCGGACUUCUAAGUACCUUGUGAAAUCCCACGGCUCACCCGUGGAACUGCUUGGUAUACUGGUUGUCUUGAGCCUUCUAGGGGCGAGUGGAACAAAUGGUGGAGCGGUGAAAUGCGUAGAUAUCAUUUGGAACGCCAAUGGUGAAAACAGCUCGCUGGGGAAGUGCUGACGCUGAGACACGAAAGCCAGGGGAGCGAACGGG
rnacentral:rRNA from 1 species